rnacentral:rRNA from 1 species
UGGGGAAUUUUGCACAAUGGGGGAAACCCUGAUGCAGCGACGCCGCGUGAUUUAGAAGGCCUUCGGGUUGUAAAAAUCUUUUCUAUGGGAAGAAAAUGACAGUACCAUAGGAAUAAGGACCGGCUAAUUACGUGCCAGCAGCCGCGGUAAUACGUAAGGUCCGAGCGUUGUCCGGAAUCAUUGGGCGUAAAGGGUACGUAGGCGGGUAAGCAAGUUAGAAGUGAAAUCCUAUAGCUCAACUAUAGUAAGCUUUUAAAACUGCUCAUCUUGAGGUAUGGAAGGGAAGGUGGAAUUCCUAGUGUAGCGGUGAAAUGCGCAGAUAUUAGGAAGAAUACCGGUGGCGAAGGCGAGUUUCUGGGCAUAACCUGACGCUGAGGUACGAAAGCGUGGGUAGCAAACAGG